UGAACGCUGGCGGUAGGCCUAACACAUGCAAGUCGACCGGCAGCACAGUAAGAGCUUGCUCUUACGGGUGGCGAGUGGCGGACGGGUGAGGAAUACAUCGGAAUCUACUUUUUCGUGGGGGAUAACGUAGGGAAACUUACGCUAAUACCGCAUACGACCUACGGGUGAAAGCAGGGGAUCUUCGGACCUUGCGCGAUUGAAUGAGCCGAUGUCGGAUUAGCUAGUUGGCGGGGUAAAGGCCCACCAAGGCGACGAUCCGUAGCUGGUCUGAGAGGAUGAUCAGCCACACUGGAACUGAGACACGGUCCAGACUCCUACGGGAGGCAGCAGUGGGGAAUAUUGGACAAAGGGCGCAAGCCUGAUCCAGCCAUACCGCGUGGGUGAAGAAGGCCUUCGGGUUGUAAAGCCCUUUUGUUGGGAAAGAAAAGCAGCAGGUUAAUACCCCGCUGUUCUGACGGUACCCAAAGAAUAAGCACCGGCUAACUUCGUG
rnacentral:rRNA from 1 species